CAGUAGCCGCGGGAAUACGUAGGGUGCAAGCGUUAAUCGGAAUUACUGGGCGUAAAGCGUGCGCAGGCGGUUAUAUAAGACAGAUGUGAAAUCCCCGGGCUCAACCUGGGAACUGCAUUUGUGACUGUAUAGCUAGAGUACGGCAGAGGGGGAUGGAAUUCCGCGUGUAGCAGUGAAAUGCGUAGAUAUGCGGAGGAACACCGAUGGCGAAGGCAAUCCCCUGGGCCUGUACUGACGCUCAUGCACGAAAGCGUGGGGAGCAAACAGGAUUAGAGACCCCGGUAGUCCAUGUCUCUUAUAC
rnacentral:rRNA from 1 species